rnacentral:lncRNA from 1 species
AAAUUCCUGAAUUAUUUAUCAUGUCUAAGCAAUAUUAUGUACUAGUCACAUGGCACAUGGAAUUCCUCAGUCCUUGAAUUAAUUCCAGUGAAGCAAAACUUGUAGAGUCAGAAUUGUCUCUAAUGAAUCCCUACUUUGAGAAGUGUCAUCUUAAAAAACCCUACAAGACAUUUUGGGAGUCACCUAACGCAAGUGUUUUAUAUUACUCAGGUACCAUCAUGAAUAAUUCUGUGAGGUUAUGAUGUAGCUGAAAAUUCUGGAAGCUAAUGACUAUCUGAGUGUGCCCUAAAUAAGUGUUCUCCAGUGCCCCAGUGGGCAGCAUAUCCAUCUCCUUGUUGAGAUGCCAGAUCAAGGUGGGUGAAUGAUGCUUUAACCACCUGCUACAGCUCAUCCCUAGCCUGUGCUGGUGUCAGAGGCAACCAGGAAGCCUGCACAAGGCCAGGGUGUUUCUUCUGCCCACACGACCUUCUCACACCCCUCUUCAGCCACUGUGAUCCCCAAAAACCCAGGGCUGUGUAUCCGAAACCAUAAUAUAGGACAGUUUCUGUCAGGGCAACAUAAGAGGAGAUUAGAGCUUGAAUUUAAAAGCCACAAAGCAAUAACAAUAAAAAAGCUAAGCUUUUAUGGAGACAGUCAGGACCGCAAGCACAAGUGCAGGUGGAAAAUGAUGACUUUGGGUCUGAUUCCAUGGCACCAUGCAAGAGAAUCAAUGAUGAAUCACGUGGUAGUCUGCACUGAGCUGCUGGCACCUGAACGCCAGCCAUUUGUCUUCCACCAGCCUGAGCCGUGGCAUGUUCUCAGUCAGUGACAUUCCCGGCUCCUUCUAACUUCUUGAAAUUUCAACAUCAAAUGAUCUUCCUCAAAUCAGAUGAACAUGUAAUAUUAGAAACGAUUCUCCCUGUGUAGUAGGGGUGGAUUCCCCAGCACAGGAGCAUGAAAAUGCUCACGUGUGUGUUGGGACUGUUCCCACACCUUUGCAAUCAUUAUCAUCUUAAUUCUUACUCCAACCUUAGGGGGCAGGUGUUUGUAGUUGAUGGAACUGCACCUCGGGAGACUGAUGAACAUUACCCACAGCACGGAGCAGGUGAAUAGGGGGCCGGAAGCAACAGUUAGACCCCCCACAGCACAGAGCAGGUGAAUAGGGGGCCGGAAGCAACAGUUAGACCCCCCACAGCACAGAGCAGGUGAAUAGGGGGCCGGAAGCAACAGUUAGACCCCCCACAGCACAGAGCAGGUGAAUAGGGGGCCGGAAGCAACAGUUAGACCCCCCACAGCACAGAGCAGGUGAAUAGGGGGCCGGAAGCAACAGUUAGACCCCCCCACAGCACAGAGCAGGUGAAUAGGGGGCCGGAAGCAACAGUUAGACCCCCGAAGACAGGUAGACCACUCUUACCUGUGUUCUUACUAAAGUGCUUUCAAUGUCUUUGGGGCACUAUUUGUUCCCCUAGAGCUUAUUUGUUCCCUUGAGAACAGGUGGUCAUCUUGGAACUCCUGCUUAAGAAUCAGAGAACUGAGCCUAGGGAAACCCUGGCUCCUCACACCCUGAGUUGAGCCUCACUGCACUGUGACCAUGAAGUCUAGGCUCAGACAGGCUUCAAGGACCUGCCACCCACCACUGUCCUAAUCCACCAUUCAUUCCCCAUCCCCUGUAAAGUCAUGCCAGGAACAACCACCUACUCCCCGACAACAGGCAGAUUUUCUUGAAAACGUCCAUCUAAUCGGUGUUUUUCAGAAAACAUUAGAGAAAGCAGCUUUACGCUCACUGUUUAAUGGCUUACAUUAAGAAGUAACUUGAUGCUCUAAUUUUGAAUACCCUUAUCUUAUCUAAUCUUUGAAUUUUGUCAUGUAAUUUAUUACUUCAUGAAAUUUACUUUUUAUGUGUUAAACUAAAAAUGUUACCCAAGUCAUUGGUGCACCUUUAACAAUUUUUUUUUCUUUUUUCUUUUUUUUAUCUUCUGGAGUAUGGAGGAUAGAAAAAUGUAACAGCUUUACUCGUCUCAUCUUUCUGUUAUAGGAUGAGUCAUGUACUUACAUUGCACAAAAUGUUUGUAAUAAAGCAAUGCUUUAAAAGUGUGUAUGUGCUUACUUUCAGAUAUUAACCAGUCAUAAAAUGAUAGAAUUUUAUAUUCCAGACCCUUUGAAGAAAUUGAAAAUAACAUUACUAUUAAAUGGGGAACAGGACAGAGUGUCCACUAACAACACUGAAAUAUUUU